GCGGACGGGUGAGUAACACGUGGGAACGUGCCCUUUGGUUCGGAACAACUCAGGGAAACUUGAGCUAAUACCGGAUGUGCCCUUCGGGGGAAAGAUUUAUCGCCAUUGGAGCGGCCCGCGUAGGAUUAGCUAGUUGGUGGGGUAAAGGCCCACCAAGGCUACGAUCCUUAGCUGGUCUGAGAGGAUGAUCAGCCACAUUGGGACUGAGACACGGCCCAAACUCCUACGGGAGGCAGCAGUGGGGAAUCUUGCGCAAUGGGCGAAAGCCUGACGCAGCCAUGCCGCGUGAAUGAUGAAGGUCUUAGGAUUGUAAAAUUCUUUCACCGGGGACGAUAAUGACGGUACCCGGAGAAGAAGCCCCGGCUAACUUCGUGCCAGCAGCCGCGGUAAUACGAAGGGGGCUAGCGUUGCUCGGAAUUACUGGGCGUAAAGGGAGCGUAGGCGGACUGUUUAGUCAGAGGUGAAAGCCCAGGGCUCAACCUUGGAAUUGCCUUUGAUACUGGCAGUCUUGAGUACGGAAGAGGUAUGUGGAACUCCGAGUGUAGAGGUGAAAUUCGUAGAUAUUCGGAAGAACACCAGUGGCGAAGGCGACAUACUGGUCCGUUACUGACGCUGAGGCUCGAAAGCGUGGGGAGCAAACAGGAUUAGAUACCCUGGUAGUCCACGCCGUAAACGAUGAGUGCUAGUUGUCGGC
rnacentral:rRNA from 1 species